UAUCCAGACUCCUACGGGAGGCAGCAGUGAGGAAUAUUGGUCAAUGGGCUUACGCCUGAACCAGCCAAGUCGCGUGAGGGAAGACUGCCCUAUGGGUUGUAAACCUCUUUUGUCAGGGAGCAACGCCGGCUACGUGUAGCCGGACUGAGAGUACCUGAAGAAAAAGCAUCGGCUAACUCCGUGCCAGCAGCCGCGGGAAUACGUAGGUGGCACGCGUUAUCCGGAAUGAUUGGGCGUAAAGGGUGCGCAGGCGGCGUGGCAAGUCUGAAGUGAAAGGUACGGGCUCAACCUGUACAGGCUUUGGAAACUGCCACGCUCGAGGACAGGAGAGGGCGGUGGAACUCCAUGUGUAGCGGUAAAAUGCGUAGAUAUAGGGAAGAACACCAGUGGCGAAGGCGGCCGCCUGGACUGUUACUGACGCUCAGGCACGAAAGCGUGGGGAGCAAAUAGGAUUAGAUACCCCAGUA
rnacentral:rRNA from 1 species